rnacentral:misc_RNA from 1 species
AAGUCGUAACAAGGUUUCCGUAGGUGAACCUGCGGAAGGAUCAUUACCGAGUACCGGGUCUUUCAGGCCCGCACUCCCACCCUUUGUGUACCUACCUUUUAUUCGGUUGCCUUGGCGGACCUCCGUCCGGGACCCCUCACGGGUCUCUGGGCGAAGCCGCCAGGGGACCUCCAUUAAACUCUUGUUAACUGUGUCGUCUGAGAAAUACACAAAUAAGUUAAAA